rnacentral:rRNA from 1 species
UAGAGAUAAAAGAAAAACUCGCUAGGGUUCGUCCGUCCAUCCGUUCUCAGAGCAGAGCAGAGCAGAGACCUCGGCCGCCGCCCUUUUCUUCUUCUCCGCAAACCCAGCGACAGCGAGCCACCCAUAAUCCUCCUCCUCCGGUAAGGAGGAUAUACUCUGGCGCCCGGGUCAGUAGCGCGCCGGAUCUUUAAAUUUCCGCGGGAGGAUUGAUGUUCUGCACGCCCACCUCUAUCUGUCCACGCCGGAUUCGACUCCGUUUACCACUAUCUGUCUAACGCGGAGGUGAAUUUGAAUUUCAGGACCAGUCCGCCUUGCUCUGGCUGGCGCCAGACCUUCCUUCUUCUUCUCCUUCUCUUCAAUCUUCAUGCGAGUAGUGCUGUUUAUCAUUUUAUUUAUACCACCGGAUCAAUAGCCAACUCGGUUUUGCUCCGGUGUACGGAUAACUUAUCUUUUUUUUUCUUGGAACAAUAAUAAGAGUAUAGUAAUCCGGUGCAGCGCUAAGUUAUUAUAAAUAGUGGCAGAGUAAGGACGAGGAUUGGCCUGUAAUAAUCAUUCAAGCCUCCACGCUCGCCUCAAAGAUUUCGUUCAAAGCCUCGUCGGGUUUCAGGGGCCUCACACUCCAUGGAGGCCAUAAAUAACGGUUUCAGCGACAGUUCCCGCAGCCAAGUAAGUUCCCUCCCUUCUUGUUCGCCAUGCCUCUAUUCAUAUUUUCUUCUUAUUAACAUUCCACUGUACGUACAAUGCCAAGAGCUGUAUCUUCAACUCAACUCAUACACUACUAUAUACUCUUGACAGUUAUUGUAGCACUCCAUGUAAAUGUUAAGUUGUUUGUCUAGCCUGUUAUCA